rnacentral:rRNA from 1 species
UACAGAGACUGCAAGCGUUAUUCGGAUUCACUGGGCGUAAAGGGUGCGCAGGCGGCCAAGUGUGUUAGGCGUGAAAGCCCGGGGCUUAACCCCGGAAUUGCACCUAAAACUACUUGGCUAGAGCAUUGGAGAGGGUAGCGGAAUUCACGGUGUAGCAGUGAAAUGCGUAGAUAUCGUAAGGAAGACCAGUGGCGAAGGCGGAUCUCUGGACAGUUACUGACACUGAGGCACGAAGGCCAGGGGAGCAAAGCGGG